UGGGGAAUAUUGGACAAUGGGGGCAACCCUGAUCCAGCAAUGCCGCGUGUGUGAAGAAGGUCUUCGGAUUGUAAAGCACUUUCGACGGGGACGAUGAUGACGGUACCCGUAGAAGAAGCCCCGGCUAACUUCGUGCCAGCAGCCGCGGUAAUACGAAGGGGGCUAGCGUUGCUCGGAAUGACUGGGCGUAAAGGGCGUGUAGGCGGUUUACACAGUCAGAUGUGAAAUCCCCGGGCUUAACCUGGGAGCUGCAUUUGAUACGUGUAGACUAGAGUGUGAGAGAGGGUUGUGGAAUUCCCAGUGUAGAGGUGAAAUUCGUAGAUAUUGGGAAGAACACCGGUGGCGAAGGCGGCAACCUGGCUCAUGACUGACGCUGAGGCGCGAAAGCGUGGGGAGCAAACAGGAUUAGAUACCCUGGUAGUCCACGCCUGUAAA
rnacentral:rRNA from 1 species